rnacentral:lncRNA from 1 species
GUGGAAAACCUGGAAAAUGUUCAUUCUUAGUCGUCAUUGAAGUACAACUUGGUAAACUAAAAAACACAUCAAAUUCAGUUAUAAAAAUUUGAGUAACAAAGGUAUACUAAUUAUUGUAUUGCCUGAAAGAGUGUCAUUGCUAUUAAAAGCAGCGAAGAUUUCGAGUUCUUUGGAAGAAAAGAAAAUAAGUCAAUUAUUUGGCACAAAUCGGAGUUAACGACAAAGGAGAUUGUAUAUUUUAUUUGCUAAGAAUAGUUUUUUAAAAUGGCCUA